rnacentral:lncRNA from 1 species
CAUACCAGUGUUGUGAGAGAGGCAGAGUGCAUGUGCUGUAUGUACCGGAGCUGUAAAGGAUUGUGUCAGAGUAAAGAACACAAGACUCCAUCAUAGCUGGGGGAUGACUUUUAUAGCAGCAGCCCAUUCUCUCUGAGCAGCAUUGUUAGUCUUAUAAGGGCCCUGAAUCCUCCGGGUCACUGAAGCAUUUCCUUGCAAGGACUGGGGUGUCCUGGUAAAAUCCAGCUUGAUUAUCGUUGCGUCUCCCUAGAGAUCCAGUGGGACAGGUAAUAAAGGAUGUGACAUCCUAAGCUGGGUGACACCUUCUGGCAGAGAAUGGCAAGCAAAUUCGGGGAGUGAUUGUUGUCUGCAAAGCCCUCUGGGGUCAAAGGCGCUACAGCCAUAUAAAAUCCUGCUGUGGAGCUGCUGCUGUUUAAGCUUGGGUGACUUGUCUUAAUCUGUGUAUAUCCGCUCUGGACAGAAGCAACAGGCCUGUAAACUAGACCUGCAAUAUGUCCCACAGGAAUGGUUUAAAGCACCUUUUUAAUGUGUCUCCUUUCUACAGGCAUGUACCCACCUCCUCCUGACAUGAACCCCCUGUAUAUGGCUCCUCCUCCCCCCUACCCUGGCCCUCCUACUGCAGGACCUUCAGCCCCCACAGCUCCCACAGCCCCUACAGCCUGCAUGGAGCCUGGAAUGCCAGGUGGCAGUAAAGCAGCAGAAGCAGCUUCGAGUGCCUAUUACAACCCAGCCAAUCCCCACAAUGUCUAUAUGCCUAUGGUAAGCAACAUUGAGUUGUCUGUUGGGCUGGAGGGCAAAGGGGCAAGCGGAGCUAACGCACUUACUGUUCAGCUGCUACAGCUGAAUCCUGGGCAGCUUGUCAUCCUACUGCAGCAGCUGCUCAGGUCACAGCACGUAGCCCAUGCUGGGCUACGGCGCACCAAGUCUAGUAUCCUGCUUAGGUACACCCAGAAGCAGGCUCUUUGCCCAUCUAUCUAGCUGCAGGCAGUGCUUGAUCCUCAAGAGGAGAGUGGACCCACCCACAUGCACCAGAUCAGUUGAACUUAGAUGGGUCUAGGUGUCUCAUUUCUUUCUGACCCCCCACAGGCAAUUGGCUCCCCAAAGCAGGAGGUUUAUGAUCACGACUAUGCUAUUUAGAAAUGAUCUAGCCACUCUUUCCUACAAAGAAGGCUCAUCAAAAUACUCAUGCUUAAUCACUGUUCCUGGACUCAGUCUUAGCAUUUUUCUGAUCAAGAAGGCAGGGAACUCUAAGACCUGCACGAAAGUUGUUCCUGUACAGAAACAAUAUAUUUCUCAGCUUCUGCAAGAAUGGGGGUAGCCAGAUAUAGGAACUUAAAGGGAAAGGGUAAUGCAGGUUUAGACUGUUCUGGGCCAGGGGGGACAGACAAGAUCUGUCCUAACAAACUGCCACAGGAACCACAGAGUCACUGGGGAGGGUGAGAGGAAGAUGAGGAUUAAAACAAUGUCCAAUCACAGUGCUGCUCUUAAUGAAGCACACACAUCCUGAUGGGCUUUUAAAGGGACUCUUUUGGUGUUCAUCUUUUUUGUGUGGUGCCUCAUUUGAGGCAUUAUGGGACUGGCAAAGGUUCUGGGAUGUAACUGAAACUGGGAAGAAACACCCAGGGGUAGCUGUAGCCUAACAUAUAGGCCCCACCCCUGUCACUGUCAGCUCAGUAUCUCUCAAGCUGUAGCCGAUGGCAAAGGUUGGGUGCAUAAGCUAAGCCUGGGAGUGCCCGGAAAGCUGAACAGCUACACACAACACUGCUGAUUGGAGAUCGAAUCAGUCACCAUGUCUGUUUUUUCUCACUUUGCAGGACCAGCCGCCUCCUUAUGCACCUCCUGCUGAGAAAAAGAACAACUAACAGAAGGAACCCACCCACCAACUGCUCACGUUCCUUCUCCCCAAAGACACUUCUGUCCUCACCACCACCCCCUCA